AGAGUUUGAUCCUGGCUCAGAACGAACGCUGGCGGCAGGCUUAACACAUGCAAGUCGAGCGCCCCGCAAGGGGAGCGGCAGACGGGUGAGUAACGCGUGGGAAUCUACCCAGCUCUACGGAAUAACCCAGGGAAACUUGGACUAAUACCGUAUACGUCCUUCGGGAGAAAGAUUUAUCGGAGUUGGAUGAGCCCGCGUCGGAUUAGCUAGUUGGUGAGGUAAUGGCUCACCAAGGCGACGAUCCGUAGCUGGUCUGAGAGGAUGAUCAGCCACACUGGGACUGAGACACGGCCCAGACUCCUACGGGAGGCAGCAGUGGGGAAUAUUGGACAAUGGGCGAAAGCCUGAUCCAGCCAUGCCGCGUGAGUGAUGAAGGCCCUAGGGUUGUAAAGCUCUUUCACCGGGGAAGAUAAUGACGGUACCCGGAGAAGAAGCCCCGGCUAACUUC
rnacentral:rRNA from 1 species